rnacentral:rRNA from 1 species
GACGAACGCUGGCGGCGUGCUUAACACAUGCAAGUCGAACGGAAAGGCCCUGCUUGCCGGGUACUCGAGUGGCGAACGGGUGAGUAACACGUGGGUUAUCUGCCCUGCACUUCGGGAUAAGCCUGGGAAACUGGGUCUAAUACCGGAUAGGAGCCAUUUUUAGUGUGAUGGUUGGAAAGUUUUUUCGGUGUAGGAUGAGCUCGCGGCCUAUCAGCUUGUUGGUGGGGUAAUGGCCUACCAAGGCGGCGACGGGUAGCCGGCCUGAGAGGGUGGACAGCCACAUUGGGACUGAGAUACGGCCCAGACUCCGACGGGAGGCAGCAGUGGGGAAUAUUGCACAAUGGGCGCAAGCCUGAUGCAGCGACGCCGCGUGGGGGAUGACGGCCUUCGGGUUGUAAACUCCUUUCGCUAGGGACGAAGCUUUUUGUGACGGUACCUAGAUAAGAAGCACCGGCUAACUACGUG